rnacentral:rRNA from 1 species
GACGAACGCUGGCGGCGUGCUUAACACAUGCAAGUCGAACGCUGAAGCUCAGCUUUUGUUGGGUGGAUGAGUGGCGAACGGGUGAGUAACACGUGAGUAACCUGCCCCCCUCUUUGGGAUAACGCCCGGAAACGGGUGCUAAUACUGGAUAUUCACUGGUCUUCACAUGGGGGUUGGUGGAAAGGGUUUUUCUGGUGGGGGAUGGGCUCGCGGCCUAUCAGCUUGUUGGUGGGGUGAUGGCCUACCAAGGCUUUGACGGGUAGCCGGCCUGAGAGGGUGACCGGUCACAUUGGGACUGAGAUACGGCCCAGACUCCUACGGGAGGCAGCAGUGGGGAAUAUUGCACAAUGGGCGCAAGCCUGAUGCAGCGACGCCGCGUGAGGGAUGGAGGCCUUCGGGUUGUGAACCUCUUUCGCUCAUGGUCAAGCCGCAACAAUGGUUGUGGUGAGGGUAGUGGGUAAAGAAGCGCCGGCUAACUACGUG